GGACACGCUGGAGAGACUAUGUCUCUCGGCUGGAACGACCUGGAAGCGAGGAUGAGGACAAUCACAGACCUCAAUGAAAAGGCAUGGCCUGAAACAUAUGCAUCAAGGCCCCUACAAAGUCCUUGAUAUGUCAGAAAAUGGCGUGGCCACCAUCCAAAAGAACACUGGGUCCUUGCAGAAGGUGAAUAUCAAUCGCCUGAGGCCGUACUACAGACAGAAACAUUAACAGUCUAAAGGACUGUGUAGGAGAGAGUGAUCAAAUCUGAGCUGGACAUCUACGUCAAUUGUGUUUAAAUGACAUCGUUCCAGUCUCCACUCUCGAGGUGCAGUUCCAGGGAAGGAAGCUCUUGAGAGGAGAGUGCAGCAUCCCAACACAAGACACUGAGGAAAAGAUGAAGAUGAUCGGGAGACUGCACUGUUGACAAUCAUCCUUCUGCCUUAAGCACCUACAUACCUGUAUGCUCCAGAUUCAGAUUGCUUCAGUCUUUCUCUCUCUCUUUCUCUAUCAACCCCAACCGGUCAAGGCAGAUGGCCGCCCACCUAGAGCCUGGUUCUGCCUGAGGUUUCUUCCCGUUACGGAGUCGCCAAGUGCUUGCUCAUGGGGGGAAUGUUGGGUCUCUUUAAAUUAAAGAGUACAGUCAUAACUUAUGUCCAUCCAUCCAUCUUCUUCCGCUUAUCCGGGGUCGGGUCGCGGGGGCAGCAGCCUAAGCAGGGAAGCCCAGACUUCCCUCUCCCCAGCCACUUCGUCCAGCUCUUCCCGGGGGAUCCCGAGGUGUUCCCACGCCAGCCGAGAGACAUAGUCUCUCCAGCGUGUCCUGGGUCUUCCCCGGGGUCUCCUACCGGUGGGACAUGCCCUGAACGCCUCACCAGGGAGGCGUCCGGGAGGCAUCCUGAUUAGAUGCCCGAACCACCUCAUCUGGAACUUCUUAUGUGAUUACAUAAAAUUGUC